rnacentral:rRNA from 1 species
UACGUAGGGGGCGAGCGUUGUCCGGAAUCAUUGGGCGUAAAGCGCGUGUAGGCGGCCCGGUAAGUCCGCUGUGAAAGUCCAGGGCUCAACCCCGGGAUGCCGGUGGAUACUGUCGGGCUCGAGUCCGGAAGAGGCGAGUGGAAUUCCUGGUGUAGCGGUGAAAUGCGCAGAUAUCAGGAGGAACACCAAUGGCGAAGGCAGCUCGCUGGGACGUGACUGACGCUGAGACGCGAAAGCGUGGGGAGCAAACAGG